rnacentral:rRNA from 1 species
GACGAACGCUGGCGGCGUGCUUAACACAUGCAAGUCGAACGAUGAAGCGGUGCUUGCACCGUGGAUUAGUGGCGAACGGGUGAGUAAUACGUGAGUGACCUACCUUUGACUCUGGGAUAAGCCUGGGAAACUGGGUCUAAUACCGGAUACGACCAAUCUCUGCAUGGGGUGUUGGUGGAAAGCGUUAUGGAGUGGUUUUAGAUGGGCUCACGGCCUAUCAGCUUGUUGGUGAGGUAAUGGCUUACCAAGGCGACGACGGGUAGCCGGCCUGAGAGGGUGACCGGCCACACUGGGACUGAGACACGGCCCAGACUCCUACGGGGGGCAGCAGUGGGGAAUAUUGCACAAUGGGCGCAAGCCUGAUGCAGCGACGCCGCGUGAGGGAUGACGGCCUUCGGGUUGUAAACCUCUGUUAGCAUCGAAGAAGCGAAAGUGACGGUAGGUGCAGAGAAAGCGCCGGCUAACUACGUG